UGGUGGAGUGAUUUGUCUGGUUAAUUCCGUUAACGAACGAGACCUUAGCCUGCUAACUAGUCGAUUCAAUCCCCGAUUGACUUCGACUUCUUAGAGGGACUUUGUGACUAAACACAAGGAAGUUUGAGGCAAUAACA
rnacentral:rRNA from 1 species